AUGUGAAGGUCCCAGCAGAGAGAUAGGAACUCUAUUUUGAGAUCUCUCUAACAUGAAUAAUUACCCUUCGCAGAUUGAGAUCAUUAUCAGCUGUUUCGUGGGAUUCCCAAUUAGAUUACAAUUUUUGGUGUAUCUUGAACCCUCAGCUACAUUUAU